CCCUUAGAUGUUCUGGGCCGCACGCGCGCUACACUGAUUCAUGCAACAAGUUUUGUCCUUGGCUGAUAGGCCUGGGUAAUCUUUGAACGUGAAUCGUGAUGGGGAUAGAUGAUUGCAAUUAUUCAUCUUCAACGAGGAAUUCCUAGUAAACGCAAGUCAUCAGCUUGCAUUGAUUUCGUCCCUGCCCUUUGUACACACCGCCCGUCGCACCUACCGAUUGAAUGGUCCGGUGAAAUCUUCGGAUCUGAGAGAUGUCUGAUUAAUUUCGGACGCCUUUUGGAAAAGUUGCUUAAACCUUACCAUUUAGAGGAAGGUGAAGUCGUAACA
rnacentral:rRNA from 1 species